rnacentral:tRNA from 1 species
AGCUUCGUAGCUCAGCUGGUACAGCGUGCGCGUGGGCGGCAUCCAUACGUGGGUUCAAAUCCCACCAAGGCUA